GAUAAAAUCUGAGUCUAGAUCACAUCUAAGGAAGUAAAGAACCAAAAGAUGAUGUGGGUGUCACUACAUUUCUGGUGCAACCAUACUAUCAUCAUUAUCUGCUACAAAGGUAGAUAAUACUUUUUCCUUUUCUUUUUGUGGGUCAUUGUAACAUAAUAGAAGGAAGGUCAAAAGGGCACUUGCAAUUGCAGCAGUUGCUUCACCCACUUUGCAUGACCCACCAAAGAAAAACCUUAAAAAAAUUGACAGAGGACUACUAUAAAUACCACAUCUUGUGACCCAAUCACACUGCACAAAGCUAUAAUUCAGAGUCUUCCACAGGAGCCUCAUAAACCUCUUGCUCUCGGAUAUCAUGUUGUCCAUUGGAGCCAGCUAUGCCCAGCUCCAUGUCCAACAAGAGCACUACAAGCAGAAGAUCAAGAGAAAGGAAGGGCAGCAGAAGCCCAAGGGACAGAAGAAGGGAACUGAAGGAAGAGUCCACCCUGAUGGCUCAUCACCAAGACAAGCCAAGGCUGAUCUCAACAAGUGUAACCCAUGAAAGAGAGGAAAGAUAAAGAGAGUCAUGUUUGAUGCACUUACUAUGUGUAGGUGUUGGUUGUAGAACUGCUGUUGUUUGCAAAUUAGUUGCUGGUUUAACAGGACUUAUUAUUUUGGCUUGUCCUUCUUCAAUUAUUUUCCCCUUGUUUAUUAGAUUUGGUGAAUGUUUGGAAGAAGUUAAAAGCAGCCUCUUUGCAAGCAAAAGCUUGGGGAAUAUUAAGUCCAAAUUGUAUGAAUGUUUGAAAUGGAUUAAGAUGGAUCAAAUCUUUUAGUGACCCUAAAUUAUUAUUAUUAGUUUUCUUCAUUACACUUGAGCCUAAUAUAGUAGCUAAAUCCAACAUUUAGUUUUCUUUAUAAUAUCCACUAAUUCCUCUAACCUUAUUGCAUCUGUGUCAUUAUAGAUGGGAUCAUGUUAUUAGUGAGAUAAAUAUAUAGUCCAUAUGUUAUUACAUAUAUUACUAGAUUUAGUCAAACUUAUCACUAUUAUUUGUUCUCAAGUUAUGCUUAUUCAGUCUUAAAAACUAUUAAUAUAUGGGAAUUAAUACAUUAGAGAUCUUUUCUUUUACUUCUUUGUUGCUUUUUAAAGUUGAGAAAGAGCCCCUUCAUCUUCACACCCAUGUCCUCUAGUGCUUAAAUGGCAGUGGUGAUUGGUACUAUCUCCCCCUUCAUUUUGUUUUUUUCUUCUGUCAAUCAUGCAUUGUCAUCAAGAAAUACUGAUCUUUUGCUACCCAUCUGUGUUUAAACGUUACAUGCCUGUCAAUGGUUGUCAACAAUUGCAUGCACUUGGGAGAAAUGACUGGGUUUUGUCUGUGAGGGCUGUGAGCUCAAGGUCAAGAAACACUUUUCUUCAAUGAAAUGUGUUGCCUUCUUUCAUCUUUGCAUCCACUGCAAGUCCAAUUAUACCUCACUUGUGUUCAUCCUUCAAAUUCCUCACUUGGGCCAUUCUUGUUGGUAGAUGGUUGUGGCCUCUGUCACUUGCUAUGUUGAGCCAGACAAUGUCUUUAAAGAAUGUCCGGCCUUCAGGAAAGAUGUGAGGUGAUAAAUGAUCGAUGUAAUCAUGAUGAAUUGAGGAAGUUGAUCUUGCACAAUAGGGGUUGUCAUGAAUGUGCCCAAGAGAAUCCUCAUCUGAUGCUCAAAUCAGAGUUUACUUUGAGGUAAAGAAAAGACUACAUGAAAAAUACAAUAAAAAUUCAGAGAAACAAAUGAUAUUUCUACCUUAGAAUGAGUCUUCUUUUAUAGAAUCAAAGCUUGCUAGGUUGUUGUGGAAGAUUCUAUCAAUCCAUUGAUAGAAUAAUUUCUUGUCUUGAUUUAGACAUAACAUAACAAAUAACCUGAUUGGACUAUGAUAUAAUGACAGAAUCUGUGUUGAAUGACUAUAACCAUAUGAUCCACAUAUCACUCUAUGAUUGGUGUGAAUUAUGAUGUCUGUUUUUAGCAAAGAAACAUGGUAGAGAAAAAUUAGGAGGAUUCUUUCCUCGACCACAUCUGAUCUCUUAGCUCCACAUUGUUCACACAAUAUUGCACAUGUAAAUAAAGUUCCCUGUGUUAGAUUGACCUUUCACCUUUCAUUGAAUGAGUUGUAGCCUUAGUUGAAAGGAGGAAUGGGUUUGGGGCUAGUCUACUUCAGUGUGCCAGAUAGGAAUGAAUUGUAGCUGUGUACCACUUUGAGGAGGCCAUUCUGAAAGCUUCCUUCAUUGCUAUUACCUGUGACUAAGAAAGCAGUUUGAGUGAAGUAAUCAUAUAAAAAAGCUUUCCAUUUAUUUUUCUCUUGGUCAGAUUCCUGCUGAUAGAAAUUUUCAUGCUCAGUGCAGGAAAUUGCUGAAGAUAUUGUAGGCCUCUGAACAAUACAAACAUUAGGAUACCAGGAUGGGUGCAUGCAAAUUUAUGAAUCAUGCAGGAAUGAUUUAUACAAUUCAAAAUCUAACUUGAGAGAUGAUCCGAUACCCCAGCGAUAACUAGCUUUUUUUUUUCUUUUCCAUUUCUUUUUUUUUUUCUUGUAGUGCAUCACAUUAGGAAAACUGCUGAGGCGUAGAACUUUUCAGUAAAGCUUCUCAUAAUUUCUUUACAAUCAUAAGAUGCAGUUCUGCAUAGCUAAUUUCUAUCAUAUUUUUCUUUUUAUUUUCUUUUAUUCUCUCAAUAAUGA
rnacentral:lncRNA from 1 species